CCAUCGGUUGCGGCAAGCGGGGAACUUGGGCGAGUCCAUUUCUACGGAAAAAAUAAUUACAUUCCUUUUUCGAAUAGUAACAAUUGCUUGACAUUUGUCAGUAAGAGGUCCAUUGGGCGAGUCGAUUGAAGUCGCGGGGCGCCGGCGUACGGCGUAUUCUAGUGAAGCAGAUCGACCGACCUCCACGAGCGAGCGAGCAACAGAAAGAAACCAGCCGGCAUUCAUUUCUCACGGUUCGCGAACGCUGCGGUUAUUGUCUCAUCUCUAUCGCGUUUAUUACUGGUAAGUGAUAUCUAUUUAAUAUAUAUUUCAUCGUUUAAUAUAAGUUCACGUCCAAAAUUGUGCUUUGCAAAAUUAUAGCAUAGAUAUAGCAUUAGCGUAACAUUUUCUUGCUAAAAUGUAAUAUAAUUUUGCAAAAUACAAUAGUUGACAACUGUAUCAGAACAUCUGUCAUCUGUCACUAUCGAACUUAGGAUUGCUACUGUGUUAAGUGUUUGCACAAUUCGCUAUCUGCAUCUGCAGUGUGUAACGUGCGUGGUUGUUUUUUUUGGAAUCCUGCCAAUACAACCUAUGGUGGAACUUUCGUUAUCAUUAUCUUUAGAAAACGAGUUAUCAUCUGUACUAACUGCAUUAAAUACUAGUAAGUAGUAUGUUAAAUGUGUUUGCGAUACUGUAUGAAGCGUCUGUCUGAUCGCUAAAUGUUCAAUGUGAGCGUUCCUUGAGAUCUCGUCGUUAUCAAGUGGCGCGCUAUCAGCGGCGGGGAUGCGCGGGGUGCGGGGGCCUCGCGCAGGCUCCCUGCAGCGGAAUACCAUAUAUGGCCACGAAAACUCAUGUAUUGUGCCGUACUGUGCGAUUGGUGGAGAAGUCGGCGCAGCGGGGUAGGGGCGCCCCGAUAACCAGCCUCAUUUAUAUACUCUGCCUGCCGCGCUCGCCGACAUUCCACGAAGUGAGCUCGAGCAGUGGUGUUGUGCAGCAUUACCGAGGCUGUGCAAUAGCGAGUUAAUUUAUUUAUUUAAUAGGACUAUUUAAAUUAAAAGUAAGUUGAUACAGAUGUGGUACUCCAUUUUUUGUGAUGUUUAGUGAUUUUGUGGCGUGAGGAAAUAGUGCAACCUUGUUAGUGUGUGCGGGUCAGUGACACGUCGUUAGGGUUGGGCCGCGUGAUGCCGCACCGGCCGGGAGUCUGGGAUAGCCGGUUGCGGUAGGGCGUGGUCGCCCUCUAUCUCUUACUGGCACUUACCAUAGUUUAACCUUUCGUGUGAUUGACCCACGCUCGUAAUAAUUACCGUCGUAUGCACGGCCGAAAUGAAAUGGCGCGAGGAAGCGGCGAGCGUUCCUUUGUAUGUGUGUGUAAGCAUUUUAAAUUUCGCGCCAUAACAUAGACCGGUGAUACAGGAUGUUUAUUUUUGAUUGUUGAAAAAUCUUUAAUGCUGGAUUAGAAAUAAAAAACGUGUACAAAAU